rnacentral:rRNA from 1 species
UGGGGAAUAUUGGACAAUGGGCGAAAGCCUGAUCCAGCAAUGCCGCGUGAGUGAUGAAGGCCUUAGGGUUGUAAAGCUCUUUUACCAGGGAUGAUAAUGACAGUACCUGGAGAAUAAGCUCCGGCUAACUCCGUGCCAGCAGCCGCGGUAAUACGGAGGGAGCUAGCGUUGUUCGGAAUUACUGGGCGUAAAGCGCACGUAGGCGGCUAUUCAAGUCGGGGGUGAAAGCCCGGGGCUCAACCCCGGAACUGCCCUCGAAACUAGAUAGCUAGAAUCUUGGAGAGGCGAGUGGAAUUCCGAGUGUAGAGGUGAAAUUCGUAGAUAUUCGGAAGAACACCAGUGGCGAAGGCGACUCGCUGGACAAGUAUUGACGCUGAGGUGCGAAAGCGUGGGGAGCAAACA